AUGUAAUGGCGAUUGGAGGCGGGUUUGUGAGAGGAGAAAAAUGGGAAGGAGGCGGGCAGGGAAGAUAUGGGAGUCCCAAAUUUCCAAAUCCACAACCAACCCAUCAUUCAAGCACAAAACCCGUACUAUGAUGCCAUCGUCUCCCACAGAAGAGUAAAAUCUGUGGAAGGACUUGAUCUCCAGGGCUUCCAUGGCAGGGGGUCCUGUAGAAAACCCACAAGUAAAUCAGAGCCAUUGAUUCAUUGCUCUGCCCUUUUGCCUCAGCCCUUUGAUUCAUUCAAACUUGAGAAAAAAAUUGCAGAAGGAAGAUAUGAACAUAAACCCAAACGUCUGCUAACACGCUGUGACGCUGCGCCCUCUCUCUGUCGAAACCCUAGCUGAAAAACUUUGCAUCUCACUGUAUUUAUAAUCGCUAAAAUGGCUAAAUUGCACUAAUAGCUUCCGUAUUUACUCGGUUUUUCAGUUUCGUCCUUGUAACUUUUCAGAAAGGCCCAACGGGGUUCGUGAGGAUCUGUCUGGGCCGGUAAAGGCCCGGCCUUUUCUGAACGAGUAAAUCGAAAAACAGAGAAAAGUAUCCUCAGACAUGGAGUGAGAGAUAUCUAGACGACGGAGAGAGAGAAAGAAACAGACUUUCCUUUCAGUUCCGAGCCAUAAUCUGGUUUUGAUGUUUUUGCUGUUUAGGGAUGUCCAGUUCUUGGGGUAAGCUUGCUUGUUGCACAUGGCACCCACAGUCUCAGCUGUGCAACCUUGCUUCAGCGGGAAUGGAUUGAGAAGUGCAAUUGCUUUUGAAGCUGAGAAGGGAUAUCGGAAUGCUUUGGGUAGAAAAAUGAGGUUCAGUAAUUUUCUCUUUUCAACGGUAUCGAGAUUAUGUUCUCGUCCAAAGCAUAGUCUUGUCAAAAAUAAUUUGGAGGAAGUAGAUAUUUUUGGCAUAGCAAGCAUCUCAGAUCGGUCAAAGUUGCUCAAUAAGGUAUCUGCUUUGGUUGGUUAUGAUAGUCUUGAUGAUUUGAUUGAGAAUGAAGGAGCUGAAAAGCAGUCCGGUAUGCAUGUUAGAGAUGUCGUAGAUGAAUUUGAUGUCUCCUUGGUGUGUGCACGAUUUCCAUCAAUCAUUUUAGGUAGUUCCCCUCGGGUGGAAUUGUAUGAUGGAACCACCAGUUUCAAUGAAAGGAUGCUUUUGUCAACUCAAAGUGGUGAAGGAUUUCUGUCUGAUACUAUGUGUGAAGAGCAGUCCGCAACUGUGGUUAUUGAGGAAAACUCACAUCAAACAGUUCCUGUGGAGGAAUCUUCUAGCAAGGUUUUGCUUAAAUCACAAAAUCAUACUGGGUCUGUUCAGUUUUCCCUGGACAGUUCUAUCAGUUUCAUACCUGGAAUAACUAAGAAGCGCUGUCGGCAGCUAGAAGACUGUGGCUUUCAUACAUUGCGGCAAUUGCUUCACCACUUUCCUCGGACCUAUGCGGAUUUACAGAAUGCUCAGAUGAAAAUUGAUGAUGGACAGUACUUGAUUUUCAUUGGGAAGGUAUUAAGUUCGAGGGGAAUCAAAGCUAGUAGUUCUUUCUCAUUUAUUGAGGUAGUUGUUGGAUGCGAAAUUAUGGACGAUGAAUCAACUGAGCAUUUGAAUGAUUCUGCUGAUGGUAGAAGAAAGAAGACAAUUUCUUUGCAUCUGAAGAAAUUUUUUCGUGGCGCUCGUUUUACUUCUCUACCCUUUCUUAGACUUGUUGAGGGAAAGCAUAAAGAGGGGGACUUUGUAUGUGUUAGUGGCAAGGUAAGGACAAUGCCUGUCAAAGGUCACUAUGAAAUGAGAGAAUACAAUAUUGAUGUGCUUAAAGAUGAAAAUGAAGUGUCUUUUCAUGCAAAAGGGAGGCCUUAUCCUAUAUACCCUUCAAAAGGAGGUUUAGAUCCAAAUGUUUUGAGAGACAUCAUUGCAAGAGUUGCACAAGUUUUGGCUGUCGAUGUUGAUCCUAUUCCUAAAAAUAUCACUCAGGACUUUGGGCUGUUAAGCCUUCAUGAUGCGUACAAGGGGAUUCACGAACCAAAGAGUAUGGACGAAGCUGAUUUGGCUCGGAAAAGGCUAAUAUUUGAUGAGUUCUUUUACCUGCAGUUAGCGCGCCUUUACCAAAUGCUUGAAGGUCUUGGUACACAAAUAGAGAAAGAUGGAUUGCUGGAUAAGUACAGGAAACCUGAAUCAAGUGCUGCUUACACGAAGGAAUGGUCCAUUCUUACCAAGAAGUUUUCAAAAGCUCUUCCAUAUACCCUUACUCCUAGUCAACUCACUGCCGUUUCAGAAAUCAUCUGGGAUCUAAGGCAACCAGUUCCUAUGAAUCGGCUUUUGCAGGGUGAUGUUGGUUGUGGGAAAACCGUGGUAGCUUUUCUAGCAUGCAUGGAGGUUAUUGGCUCUGGAUAUCAGGCAGCUUUCAUGGUUCCCACUGAGUUGCUUGCAGUCCAGCAUUACGAGCACUUAAAUAAAUUGCUUGAAAAUAUGGAGGAUGUUGAACGAAAACCUUCAAUUGCUUUACUAACAGGCUCAACCCCAUCAAAACAAUCACGGAUAAUUCUUGAGGGUCUCAGGACUGGAGAAAUAUCGAUGGUCGUUGGAACCACCAGUUUAAUAUCUGACAAAAUCGAAUUCUUUGCAUUACGCAUUGCAGUGGUGGAUGAACAACACCGUUUUGGUGUGAUCCAGAGAGGACGGUUUAACAGUAAGCUAUACUAUACCUCCAUAAAUUCUAGAAUGGUAGCCGCCAGUUCAGAUGUGACCUCAAAAGGUGACAACCAUAUGGCUCCUCAUGUUCUUGCCAUGUCAGCUACUCCUAUCCCGAGGACACUUGCUCUUGCUUUAUAUGGGGAUAUGUCAUUGACACAGAUAACAGACUUACCUCCAGGAAGAAUUCCAGUUGAGACAUUCAUCAUUGAAGGAAAUGACAAUGGAUUUGAGGAUGUUUAUGAGAUGAUGCUGGAUGAGUUAAAAGAAGGAGGGAGAGUCUAUCUUGUGUAUCCAGUUAUUGAACAAUCUGAACAGCUGCCGCAACUUCGUGCUGCUGCGGCAGAUUUUGAAGCUAUAUCUGAUAGGUUUCAGGGCUACACUUGUGGAUUGUUGCAUGGAAGGAUGAAGAGUGAUGAGAAAGAUGAAGCAUUGAGAAAGUUCAGAUCUGGAGAAACAGAUAUACUGCUUUCCACACAAGUAAUUGAGAUUGGUGUUGAUGUUCCGGAUGCAUCUAUGAUGGUUGUUAUGAAUGCUGAGAGAUUUGGGAUAGCUCAGUUACACCAACUUAGAGGACGAGUUGGACGAGGAGUGAGAAAGUCUAAAUGUUUACUAUUAGUAUCUUCUUCCAGUAGUCUAACUCGGCUGAAGGUCCUGGGGAAAUCGUCAGAUGGUUUUUAUUUGGCAAACAUGGACCUUCUUUUACGUGGACCUGGUAACUUGCUUGGCAAGAAACAGUCAGGACAUCUUCCAGAGUUUCCUAUUGCAAGAUUGGAAGUAGAUGGCAAUAUCUUACAAGAAGCGCAUCUUGCUGCUCUGAAAGUUUUAGGUGCUUCCCAUGAUUUGGAGCAAUUCCCGCUGCUUAAGGCAGAGCUUAGCAUGAGACAGCCGCUGUCUAUUCUGGGUGACUGAGUGUCGUGGUAAAAUUUGGAACCUUGCAAAUCUAUACAAGAUUCUAUUGGUUGUAUUGAUGGCAUCUUGUCCUUUUUUGUGUAUUGCUUUCGGGAACCAUGUCGUGUAUACCAUAUCUGUUGCAAGCUUGAUGCUUCUGCGUGAUUUCCUUAGCGGUUGCCUCCUUGGAAUAGAGCAAAGUCGUGACGUAGAGUUAAGGGGAGCAACUGGUAAUGGCUAGUCAUGAAAAACGUUGCCCUGGUCGAAUUUGGAGAGCAAACACUGAAUAUGCAGACAUGCCCAUUUUUGCACACCAGCGAAAAGGAAUGCCAUAUUCAAACGUGCUUUUUGCCAUUGAAGUAGAUUGUUAAUCACUGUUUAGUAGGCAUUUUUUUACAUAAUUUGAUAUGUCAGCAUCCUAACAAUCCGCUUGCUUGAAUUUCGAAGAAUUCUCAAAGAUGUAUAAAGAAAGUGAGUAAUCUGCUAUGUAAUUUUUAUGUUUUUGCUUCUGUUAACGUUUUGAUCU